ensembl:miRNA MIR374A microRNA 374a
CAUCGGCCAUUAUAAUACAACCUGAUAAGUGUUACAGCACUUAUCAGGUUGUAUUGUAAUUGUCUGUGUAUAUAUAUGCC